CACGUAGGCACCAAGCGUUGUCCGGAUUUAUUGGGCGUAAAGAGCUCGUAGGCGGUUCGAUAAGUCGGGUGUGAAAACUUUGGGCUCAACCCAAAGCGUGCAUUCGAUACUGUUGUGACUAGAGUUCGGUAGGGGAGUGGGGAAUUCCUAGUGUAGCGGUGAAAUGCGCAGAUAUUAGGAGGAACACCGGUGGCGAAGGCGCCACUCUGGGCCGAAACUGACGCUGAGGAGCGAAAGCGUGGGGAGCGAACAGG
rnacentral:rRNA from 1 species